rnacentral:rRNA from 1 species
GCGGUGGAGCAUGUGGUUUAAUUCGAAGCAACGCGAAGAACCUUACCAGGUCUUGACAUCCCCUGACAACCCGAGAGAUCGGGCGUUCCCCUUCGGGGGACAGGGUGACAGGUGGUGCAUGGUUGUCGUCAGCUCGUGUCGUGAGAUGUUGGGUUAAGUCCCGCAACGAGCGCAACCCUCGACCUUAGUUGCCAGCAUUCAGUUGGGCACUCUAAGGUGACUGCCGGCUAAAAGUCGGAGGAAGGUGGGGAUGACGUCAAAUCAUCAUGCCCCUUAUGACCUGGGCUACACACGUGCUACAAUGGGCGGUACAAAGGGUCGCGAACCCGCGAGGGGGAGCCAAUCCCAAAAAGCCGCUCUCAGUUCGGAUUGCAGGCUGCAACUCGCCUGCAUGAAGCCGGAAUCGCUAGUAAUCGCGGAUCAGCACGCCGCGGUGAAUACGUUCCCGGGCCUU